UGCGAAGGAUCAUUGC
rnacentral:rRNA from 1 species